rnacentral:rRNA from 1 species
UACGUAGGGUGCAAGCGUUAAUCGGAAUUACUGGGCGUAAAGCGUGCGCAGGCGGUUAUGUAAGACAGUUGUGAAAUCCCCGGGCUUAACCUGGGAACUGCAUUGGUGACUGGCAGGCUUUGAGUGUGGCAGAGGGAGGUAGAAUUCCACGUGUAGCAGUGAAAUGCGUAGAGAUGUGGAGGAAUACCGAUGGCGAAGGCAGCCUCCUGGGCCAACACUGACGCUCAUGCACGAAAGCGUGGGGAGCAAACAGG